GUCAACCUCAUGUAUUCAAUGGAGAGAAAUGCUAUGCUAACUAGCCUUAUGUCAUGAAUAUGCAUAGCCGUCUCGGUGGGCGAAACAACGAAAAAACCACCUGCUGGGGUGAUACAGAUUUACCGUCGAGUUGAAGAAGAUGAGAGGAGAGGAGUAUCUACACCAUUCUACGUAUCUACACCAAUCUACGCCAACAGACCGAAGAGAAGCAGAAGAGACUCCAACCUGGCUGCUGGAAGAGAGAACCAACUCUGUUUCCUAGGGGAGCUAUGAGGUGCAGACACAGGAGAGAGGCAUCAGGCAGAUGACAGGAGAAAAGCGAGGGAGGGGAUGGAGGGGAGGAACAACAGAGAAGAGUUGUUGCCCAGGGGCUGAAGACACACGCCCGAAACAGCCCCCUUCACUCCUGAUCUGAGGACACACACACUUAGAGCCAGCUAUACCCUUCCUGUGACAUUAUAUGCUUGCUUUCUAUCCAAAUACAUAAUCAUGUAAGAAAGAAGAUACACAUGUUUACUGUGGGUGAAUAUGAUGUAAUAUGAUAUGUUUUUUUGACUGACUUAAUUUCAGUCUUUUUAAAGAAUUAUAAUUAAUUUGAUAUGUUAUAGCUUGAAAAUAAUAGAGGAAUAGUGGAGGUGAAAACUAAAAGAUAAUUCCCAAUAUGUUCUCCAACCUGAUAAAACAUUUUAUAAAAAAGCUGUGCUGUUAUCCUCGCAAGUGGAGGGUGCCGGAGUAUUGAAAACAGGUGGCAAUACUUUUGCUCCAUAUCUUUUUAUAGAUAAAAUAAUAAUAAUUGUAUUA